AGACUACUCCCUCCGUCCCGAAAUACUUGUCGGAUAGAUGGAUAAAAUUGGAUCCAUCUAUAACUAAAAUACGUCUAGAUUUAUCAAUUUCCCAGACAAGUAUUUCCGGACGGAGGGAGUACAUA
rfam:Triticum aestivum genome assembly, contig: Triticum_aestivum_CS42_TGACv1_scaffold_642836_T_1AL-0.230048_2DS-0.142282